GAUGAACGCUGGCGGCGUGCCUAAUACAUGCAAGUCGAGCGAACAGAUGAGGAGCUUGCUCCUCUGACGUUAGCGGCGGACGGGUGAGUAACACGUGGAUAACCUACCUAUAAGACUGGGAUAACUUCAGGAAACCGGAGCUAAUACCGGAUAAUAUAUUGAACCGCAUGGUUCAAUAGUGAAAGACGGUUUUGCUGUCACUUAUAGAUGGAUCCGCGCCGCAUUAGCUAGUUGGUAAGGUAACGGCUUACCAAGGCAACGAUGCGUAGCCGACCUGAGAGGGUGAUCGGCCACACUGGAACUGAGACACGGUCCAGACUCCUACGGGAGGCAGCAGUAGGGAAUCUUCCGCAAUGGGCGAAAGCUUGACGGAGCAACGCCGCGUGAGUGAUGAAGGUCUUCGGAUCGUAAAACUCUGUUAUUAGGGAAGAACAAAUGUGUAAGUAACUAUGCACGUCUUGACGGUACCUAAUCAGAAAGCCACGGCUAACUACGUG
rnacentral:rRNA from 1 species